ACUGUGAGCCCAUUAAACCUCUUUUUCUUUACAAACUCCCCAGUUUUCAGUAUGUCUUUUUCAGCAACGUGAAAAUGCACUAAUACAGUAAAUUGGUGCCAGUAGAAUGGGGUGCUGCUGUAAAGAUCCCCAAAACUGUGGAUCCAACCUUGGAACUGGGUAACGGAGAGGUUGGAACAGUUUGGAGGGCUCAGAAGAAGAGAGGAAGAUGUGGGAAAGUUUGGAACUUCCUAGACACUUGUUGAAUGGUUUGACGAGAAUGCUGACAGUGAUAUGGACAAUGAAGUGCAGGUUGAGAUGGACUGAGAUGGAGAUGGGAAACUUCCUGGGAACUGGAGUAAAGGUGACUCUUGCUAUGUUUUAGCAAAGAGACUGGCAGCAUUUUGCCCCACCCUAGAAAUUGUGUAACUUUUAACUUGAGAGAGAUAAUUUAGGGCAUCUGGCAGAAGAAACUUCUAAGCAGCAAAGCGUUCAAGAGGUGACUUGGGUACUGUUAAAAGCAUUAGGUUUUAUUCAUUCACAAACAUAUGAUAUGGAAUUGGAACUUAUGUUUAAAGAAGAAGCGGAGCAUAAAAGUUCAGAAAGUUUGCAGCCUGACAAUGUGAUAAAAAAGAAAAACACAUUCUCUGAGGAGAACCCCAAGCUAGCUGCAGAAAUUUGCACAAGUCAGGAGGAGCCAAAUGUUAAUCAACAAGACAAUGAGGAACAUGUCUCCAGGGCAUGUCAGAGGUCUUCAUGGCAGCCUCUCUCAUCAUAGGCCUGGAGGCCUAGGAAGAAAAAAUAGUUUCAUCGGCUGGACCCAAGGCUCUGCUUCUUUGUGCAGUCUCAGAACUUAGUGCCCUGCAUCCCAGCCACGGCUAUAAGGGGCCAACGUUGAACUCAAGCUUUUAUUUCAGAGGAUGCAUGCCUCAAGUCCUGGCAGCUUCCGCACGGUGUUUGAGCCUGCAGGUGCACAGAAGUCAAGAAGUUGAGGUUUAGGAAUCUCUGCCUAGAUUUCAGAAGAUGUAUGGAAAUGCCUGGAUAUCCAGGUAGAAGUUUGUUGCAGGGGCACGGCCCUUGUGGAGGUAGACAUCUGUUGUAAGAGCAGAGACCUACUUCUGCUAGGGCAGUGUGGGAGGGAAAUGUGGGGCCGAAGACCCCACACAGAGUCCCCACUGGGGCACUGACUAGUGGAGCUGUAAGAAGAGGGCCACUGUCCUUCAGACCCCAGAAUAGUAGAUCUACCGAAAGCUUGCACCGUGCACCUGGAAAAGCCACAGACACGCAACACCAGCCUGUGAAAGCAACCAGGAGGGAGAUUGUAUCCCUGCGAAGCCACAGGGGUGGAGCUGCCCAAGACCACGAGAACCCACCUCUUGCAUCAGCAUGCCCUGGAUGUGAGACAUGAAGUCAAAGGAAAUCAUUUUGGAACUUUAAGAUUUGACCAGCUCUCUGGAUUUCGGACUUGUGUGGGGCCUGUAGAACCUUUGUUUUGGAUAAUUUCUCCCAUUCAGAAUGGCUGUAUUUUGAUUUUACUCAGAAAAUCAAAAACUUGCUUGCUUUAAAUUUUACUCAUAAGUGCAAGGGACUCCUGUUGUCUCAUAUGAGACUUUGGACUGUGGACUUUUGAGUUAAUGCUGGAAUGAGUUAAGACUUUGGAGGACUGUUGCAAAGGCAUGAUUGUGUUUUGGAAUGUGAGGACGUGAGAUAUGGGAGGAGCCAGCAGCAGAAUGAUAUUGUUUGGCUGUGUCCUCACCCAAAUUUCAUCUUGAAUUGUAGUUCCCAUAAUUCCCACAUGUUGUAGGAAGGACCUAGUGGGAGGUAUUUGAAUCAUGGGGGUGGUUUCCCACAAACUAUUUUUGUGGUAGUGAAUAAAUCUCACAUUGGCUCUCAUUUUUUCUCGUCUGCUGCCACGUGAGAAGUGCCUUUCGCCUUCCACCAGGAUUGUGAGGCCUCCCCAGUCACGUGGAACUCCAACAAUGGGUCACAUUGCACAUUUCAAGGUUACAGAGGAGGCCCACCGUACACACGCGGGGCAGGAGCAGAUAAAUCUUGCUCGGGGCUUUACAAUAAAGCUACAGCGAGUGUUCCAGAAGUUGACUACAUCUGGAAGCAGAAAGACAAACUCUGGAAGAAGUACCCUAGAGACUCCAGGAACCCCUUAACUCCUGAGCUUUCGGGACUCUUCAGCGUGGGGCCUUUUUCUUAGACGUCGAGAGACCUCCUUUUCUGGACCAUAGUGGAGGGAUGUGCAGGUCAUCGGCUAAGCUGGGGGUGUCGGGGAGGGCAGGGGGAGUACAGUUCCUUCAGAUCCCAGCAGAGGUUAGACUGUCAAUGGCCAAGGGUUCAGAGGCAGGAAAUAUGGCCGUUUUUGGGGGGUUGGCUGGGGACACUCCCCUUCCCUCCUCUCUCCGAUUAAAUAUAAAAGCCGAUGAUGAUGAAGAUUGAGAAGACGAGGAAAAUGGCAGCCGUGUCUCGGGUCUCCUCCCAGUGGAGGCCUUUCAGGGACGCGUGCUCCUGCCUUUUGAGAAGCUACAACAAGUUAUACAGAAGAUCUAGCUAAGACCAUUGAUGAAUGUGGCUAUACAAAACGACAGAUAAUUAAUGUAGAUGAAACAGCCUUAAGAAGAAAGAAAAUGCUGUCUAGAAAAUGCUAGAGCUGGAGAGAAAUCAAUACCUAGCUUCAAAGCUAUGUGAUGGGUUCAAUCAUACCCCAAAUCUCAGCAUCACGCAAUAUGCAAUAACUUGCCUAUGUACCCCCUAGAUAACCUCCAAAAUAAAGGUUGAAAAAGAAAAAAGCAAAAGCCUCUGAUAGUUGCUCAUGCUUUCUACCAUGUGUGGAUAUUGCAAAAAGAUGUUUGGCCAUCUAUAAAUUAGGAAGUGGGUCCUUACCAGACACUUUGUCAGCACCUUGAUCUUGGACUUCCUAGCUUUCAGAACUAUGAAAAAUAAAUUUCUGUUAUUUAAAAAAAAAAAAA